ensembl:snRNA U6 U6 spliceosomal RNA
GUGCUCACUUGGGCAGCGCAUAUACUAACAUAAAAAGGACAUAGAAAUUAGCAUGGCUCCCAUGCAAGCAUGACACACAAAUUUGUGAAGGAUUCCAUAUUUUU